AACGAACGCUGGCGGCAUGCCUAACACAUGCAAGUCGAACGAGACCAUCGGGUGUAGUGGCGCACGGGUGCGUAACCGGAGGGAACAGGCCCUUAGGGUCGGCAUAACUCUACGACAGGGGUGCUAAUACCGGAUAAUGUCUACGGACCAAAGAUUUAUCGACUUUGGAUGGGCCCGCGUUGGAGUAGCUGGUUCGUAGGGUAAAAGCCUACCAAGGCGCCGAUUCAUAGCUGGGAUGAGAGGAGGAUCAGCCACACUGUGAGUGAGACCCGGCCCAGACUCCUCCGGAAUGCAGCAGAGGGGAAUAGUGGACCACGGGGUAAGGGAUGAUGCAGUAAUGCCGGUUGAGUUAUGAAGGCCGUAGGGUUGUAAUGCUCUUGUAACCGUGCUGAUAAUGACAGUACCGAGAGAAUAAGCUCCGGCUAACUCCGUG
rnacentral:rRNA from 1 species